rnacentral:rRNA from 1 species
UACAUGUGGGGCAAGCGUUGUUCGGAAUUACUGGGCAUAAAGGGUGCGUAGGUGGUUUGUUAAGUCAGGGGUGAAAUCCCGCGGCCCAACCGUGGAACUGCCUUUGAUACUGGCGAACUUGAGUGCGUGAGGGGUAGGGGGAACGAGCAGUGUAGCGGUGAAAUGCGUAGAUAUCGGGGGGAACACCAGUGGCGAAGGCGGCUCUCUGGGGUGCACCUGACGCUGAUGCGCGAAAGCGUGGGGAGCGAACAGG